AUGCAUCCCUUAAGUGUUUUGCUAGUGUUACUCUGGCUUCAACUGACGGGGGUGAACAGCCAGCAGAAGGUGCAACAGAGCCCGGAAUACCUCAGUGUUUCAGAAGGAGCCAUGGCCUCCAUCAACUGUACUUUUAGUGAUAGUAAUUCUCAGUACUUCUGGUGGUACAGACAGCAUCCUGGGAAAGGCCCCAAGGCUCUGAUGUCCAUCUUCUCCAAUGGCAAAAAGGAGGAAGGCAGAUUCACACUUCACCUCAAUAAAACCAACCUGCAAGUUUCCCUGCACAUCAGAGACUCCCAGCCCAGUGACUCAGCUGUCUACCUCUGUGCAGUGAGCACACAGUGCUCCCCUGGCACCUGCAGCAUGCACCCAAACCUACUAGGCCCUGUCAAAUUCUUAGAGCACAGACCACUGGGUGGAAAAUUUCUCUUUCUAUUCUAUACACAAUGGGAAUUAUGA